rnacentral:rRNA from 1 species
AUGGAAGCUGUCGAGAAGUUUUACAAGGCUUACGCACACAGUGUUGGAUUUUCAGUUCGAAUUGGGCAGAAAAGGACCGUAGGUAAUGUGGUGGUCUGGAGGAGAUUUCUUUGUUGCAAAGCAGGUUUCCGAACAAUAAAGGAGGAGGAACGAAAGAAGGAUUCGAAGGGAGAGAAGACAAGAACACAUGCAAGAAAGAUUACUAGAUGUGGUUGUGAGGCCAUGAUAACUGUCAAGCAUAUGCAGGAUGGCAAAUAUUGUAUAUCAUAUUUUCAAGAAGAACACACCCAUGAAUUUGUCACACCUAGGAAGCAGCAUUUUAUCAAGUCUAACAGAGAAGUCAGCGAGAAGGCCAAGACCACACUAUUCACAUGUCAUGCAGCUAGCAUUGGCACAUCUGGGGCCUUCCGAUUGCUUCGUGUUGGUGAGGGCGGAUUCCAGUUCGUGGGGUGCACAAAGAGAGACUUGCAAAACUAUCACCGCGACAUGCGAAGCACUUUCAAAGAUACAAAUGCUCAAAUGUUCAUUGACAACCUCAGAAAGAGGAAGAAAAUCAACCCAGGAUUCUUCUUUGACUAUGUUCUUGAUGAUAAAAACCGACUGACGCGUGUCUUUUGGGCAGAUGCUUUUUGUCGGAAGAAUUAUGCUUUAUUGGGCGAAAUGGUGUCUUUUGACUCCACAUAUAGCACCAAUCAGUAUAAGAUGAUAUUUUAUCCUUUCACAGGAAUAAACCACCAUAUGUGA